AGAGCAGAGACAGGCUACCCUACUCCCAUGCUUCUGGGGAUUUACACUUUUGCUGAUCAGCUGGACAAGCACCAACAGUGGAAAUCCUCCUGGCAAACAGAAAGAACACAGUCUCCAGAGUCAGACUGACCCAAGGACUGCACAAGCGUCAUCUUUUAUUUCCUGUGCCAUCUGGCUCAAACUACUCCAAGCUCUUUCCACGUCUCAAUAACUUUGUCUGUGAAAUGAAGCUAUAAGAAAACCAAAGAAAGGGAAGCCAUGUCCUUUCCACUAUGAAGGCUUUCAAAGGAAAGGAAAUAGGACACUGGCUGGAAUUCAGCCACAAAGCUUGAAUCCACAUGGUGACACUUUGAGAGAUCUUCAAAGUUCCUGCCCUCGGGGAAGUAGAUUCUCUAAGCAAGUCAUCUGGCAGAAGAACCCACUGGCAAAAUCUACUGAAAGAGGAUAAUGUAAAAUGACAGCUGUAAUGUUUUUGCAAAAGUUGAAGGCUCUUCCCUUCUAAGAAGGAUGAAGCAAGGAAAAACAUUGACUUUCACAGGAAAAGUCCACAUCCAAAUGAUGAGGGAAAAAAUAAAGAAAAAAUUCAGGACAAAUCUGAGUAGGAAAAUGUAAGAGGCACUAGAGAAGGAAGAAAAAAGAAUAUGAGAAGGAAGAAGAGAAUGAGUAAAAGAUGAAUGAGAGGGGC
rnacentral:lncRNA from 1 species